rnacentral:lncRNA from 1 species
AAAGGCCACAAAAACGGGUGGGUUAUAGCCUUGGGGGGUGGGGCUGGCCAACUUCGUCCGCCGGACUCGGAAUGGCGCGAGACUUUGCGAGGCGCCUCCGUGUGCCAAAAAUAGGCAGCGGGCGCAGCCGCGUCUAAAAAUAACCGCCCGAAGGCCGGGGCGCCAAGUUCGUCCAGCGGAAAAAGCCCACAAAAAUGGGUGGGCUAUAGCCUUGGGGCGUGGGGCUGCCCAACUUCGUCCGCCGGACUCGGAAUGGCGCUAGACUUUGCGAGGUGCCUCCGUGUGCAAAAAACUGGCCGCGGGCACAGCCGCGCCCAAAAAUAACCGCCCGAAGGCCGGGGCGCCAAGUUCGUCCAGCGGAAAAAGGCCACAAAAACGGGUGGGCUAUAGCCUUGGGGGGUGGGGCUGGCCAACUUCGUCCGCCGGACUCGGAAUGGAGCGAGAUUUUGCAAGGCAUCUCCGUGUGCCAAAAAUAGGCCGUGGCAAAAGCCGCGCCCAAAAAUAACCGCCCGAAGGCCGGGGCGCCAAGUUCGUCCAGCGGAAAAACGCCACAGAAACGGGUGGGCUAUAGCCUUGGGGGGUGGGGCUGGCCAACUUCGUCCGCCGGACUCGGAAUGCCGCGAGACUUUGCGAGGGACCUCCGUGUGCCAAAAAUAGGCCGCGGGCAAAGCCGUACCCAAAAAUAACCGCCCGAAGGCCGGGGCGCCAAGUUCGUCCAGCGGAAAAAGGCCACAAAAACGGGUGGGCUAUAGCCUUGGGGGGUGGGCUGGCGACCUUCGUCCGCCUCAAUCGGAAUGGCGCGAGACUUUACGAAGGGCCCCCGUGUGCCANNNNNNNNNNNNNNNNNNNNNNNNNNNNNNNNNNNNNNNNNNNNNNNNNNNNNNNNNNNNNNNNNNNNNNNNNNNNNNNNNNNNNNNNNNNNNNNNNNNNNNNNNNNNNNNNNNNNGCUGGCCAACUUCGUCCGCCGGACUCGGAAUGGCGCGAGACUUUGCGAGGCACCUCCGUGUGCUAAAAAUAGGCCGCGGACACAGUCGCGCCCAAAAAUAACCGCCCGAAAGCCGGGGCGCCAAGUUCGUCCAGCGUAAAAAGGCCGCAAAAACGGGUGGGCUAUAGCCUUGGGGGGUGGGGCUGGCCAACUUCGUCCGCCGGACUCAGAAUGGCGCGACACUUUACGAGGUGCCUCCGUGUGCAUAAAAUAGGCCGCGGGCACAGCCGCGCCCAAAAAUAACCGCCCGAAGGCCGGGGCGCCAAGUUCGUCGAGCGGAAAAAGCCCACAAAAAUGGGUGGGCUAUAGCCUUGGGGGGUGGGGCUGGCCAACUUCGUCCGCCGGACUCGGAAUGGCGCUAGACUUUACGAGGCGCCUCCGCAUGCCAAAAUUAGGCGCGGCCGCUGCCGCGCACAAAAAUAACUGCCCGAAGGCCGGGGCGCCAAGUUCGUUCAGCGGAAAAUGGCCACAAAAACGGGUGGGCUAUAGCCUUGGGGGGUGGGGCUGGCCAACUUCGUGCGCCGGACUCGGAAUGACGCGAGACUUUGCGAGGCGCCUCCGUGUGCUAAAAAUAGACCGCGGGCACAGCCGCGCCCAAAAAUAACCGUCCGAAAGCCGGGGCGCCAAGUUCGUCCAGCGGAAAAAGCCCACAAAAACGGGUGGGCUAUAGCCUUGGGGGGUUGGGCUGGCCCACUUCGUCCGCCAGACUCGGAAUGGCGCGAGACCUUGCGAGGCAUCUCCGUGUGCCAAAAAUAGGCCGCGGGCACAGCCACGCCCAAAAAUAACUGCCCGAAGGCCGGGGCGCCAAGUUCGUCCAGCGGAAAAAGCCCACAAAAACGGGCGGACUAUAGCCUUGGGGGGUGGUGCUGGCCAACUUCGUCCGCCGGACUCGGAAUGGCGCGAGACUUUGUGAGGCACCUCCGUGUGCCAAAAAUAGGCCGCGGGCAGAGUCGUACCCAAAAAUAACUGCCCGAAAGCCGGGGCGCCAAGUUUGUCCAGUGGAAAAAGGCCACAAAAACGUGUUGGCUAUAGCCUUGGGGCGGUCGGCUGGCCAACUUCGACCGCCGGUCUCGGAAUGGCGCUAGACUUUGGGAGGUGCCUCCAUGUGCAAAAAACUGGCCGCGGGCACAGCCACGCCCAAAAAUAACCGCCGGAAGGCCGGGGCGCCAAGUUCGUCCAGCGGAAAAAGGCCACAAAAACGGGUGGGCUAUAGCCUUGGGGGGUGGGGCUGGCCAACUUCGUCCGCCGGACUCGGAAUGGAGCGAGAUUUUGCAAGGCAUCUCCGUGUGCCAAAAAUAGGCCGUGGCAAAAGCCGCGCCCAAAAAUAACCGCCCGAAGGCCGGGGCGCCAAGUUCGUCCAGCGGAAAAACGCCACAGAAACGGGUGGGCUAUAGCCUUGGGGGGUGGGGCUGGCCAACUUCGUCCGCCGGACUCGGAAUGCCGCGAGACUUUGCGAGGGACCUCCGUGUGCCAAAAAUAGGCCGCGGGCAAAGCCGUACCCAAAAAUAACCGCCCGAAGGCCGGGGCGCCAAGUUCGUCCAGCGGAAAAAGGCCACAAAAACGGGUGGGCUAUAGCCUUGGGGGGUGGGCUGGCGACCUUCGUCCGCCUCACUCGGAAUGCCGCGAGACUUUACGAGGGGCCCCCGUGUGCCAAAAAUAGGCCGCAGGCAAAGCCGCACCCAAAAAUAACCGCCCGAAGGCCGGGGCGCCAAGUUCGUCCAGCGGAAAAAGGCCACAAAAACGGGUGGGCUAUAGCCUGGGGGGGUGGGGCUGGCCAACUUCGUCCGCCGGACUCGGAAUGGCGCGAGACUUUGCGAGGCACCUCCGUGUGCUAAAAAUAGGCCGCGGACUCAGUCGCGCCCAAAAAUAACCGCCCGAAAGCCGGGGCGCCAAGUUCGUCCAGCGUAAAAAGGCCACAAAAACGGGUGGGCUAUAGCCUUGGGGGGUGGGGCUGGCCAACUUCGUCCGCCGGACUCAGAAUGGCGCGACACUUUACGAGUCGCCUCCGCGUGCCAAAAAUAGGCCGCGGGCACAGCCGCGCAUAAAAAUAACCGCCCGAAGGCCGGGGCGCCAAAUUCGUCCAGCGGAAAAAGGCCACAAAAACGGGUGGGCUAUAGCCUUGGGGGGUGGGGCUGGCCAAAUUCGUCCGCCGGACUCGGACUGGCGCGAGACUUUACGAGCGGCCUCUGUGUGCCAAAAAUAGGUGCGGCCACUGCCGCGCACAAAAAUAACUGCCCGAAGGCCGGGGCGCCAAGUUCGUUCAGCGGAAAAUGGCCACAAAAACGGGUGGGCUAUAGCCUUGGGGGGUGGGGCUGGCCAACUUCGUGCACCGGACUCGGAAUGGCGCGAGACUUUGCGAGGCGCCUCCGUGUGCUAACAAUAGGCCGCGGUCACAGUCGCGCCCAAAAAUAACCACCCGAAAGCCGGGGCGCCAAGUUCGUCCAGCGGAAAAAGCCCACAAAAACGGGUGGGCUAUAGCCUUGGGGGGUUGGGCUGGCCCACUUCGUCCGCCAGACUCGGAAUGGCGCGAGACCUUGCGAGGCAUCUCCGUGUACCAAAAAUAGGCCACGGGCACAGCCACGCCCAAAAAUAACCGCCCGAAGGCCGGGGCGCCAAGUUCGUCCAGCGGAAAAAGCCCACAAAAACGGGCGGGCUAUAGCCUUGGGGGGUGGUGCUGGCCAACUUCGUCCGCCGGACUCGGAAUGGCGCAAGACUUUGUGAGGCGCCUCCGUGUGCCAAAAAUAGGCCGCGGGCAGAGUCACACCCAAAAAUAACCGCCCGAAAGCCGGGGCGCCAAGUUUGUCCAGUGGAAAAAGGCCACAAAAACGGGUUGGCUAUAGCGUCGGGGGGUGGGGCUGGCCAACUUCGACCGCCGGUCUCGGAAUGGCGCUAGACUUUGGGAGGUGCCUCCAUGUGCAAAAAACAGGCCGUGGGCACAGCCAUGCCCAAAAAUAACCGCCCGAAGGCCGGGGCACCAAGUUCGUCCAGCGGAAAAAGGCCACAAAAACAGGUGGGCUAUAGCCUUGGGGGGUGGGGCUGGCCAACUUCGUCCGCCGGACUCGGAAUGGAGCGAGACUUUGCAAGGCAUCUCCGUGUGCCAAAAAUAGGCCGCGGCAAAAGCCGCGCCCAAAAAUAACCGCCCGAAGGCCGGGGCGCCAAGUUCGUCCAGCGGAAAAACGCCACAGAAACGGGUGGGCUAUAGCCUUGGGGGGUGGGGCUGGCCAACUUCGUCCGCCGGACUCGGAAUGUCGCGGGACUUUGCGAGGCACCUCCGAAGGCCAAAAAUAGGCUGCGGGCAAAGCCGCACCCAAAAAUAACCGCCCGAAGGCCGGGGCGCCAAGUUCGUCCAGCGGAAAAAGGCCACAAAAAAGGGUGGGCUAUAGCCUUGGGGGGUGGGCUAGAGCCUUGGGGGUUGGGCUGGCCACCUUCGUCCGCCUCUUUCGGAAUGCCCCCAGACUUUACGAGGGGCCUCCGUGUGCCAAAAAUAGGCCGCGGGCAAAGCCGCGCCCAAAAAUAACCGCCCGAAGGCCGGGGCGCCAAGUUCGUCCAGCGGAAAAAGGCCACAAAAACGGGUGAGCUAUAGCCUUGGGGGGUGGGGCUGGCCAACUUCGUCCGCCGGACUCGGAAUGCCGCCAGACUUUCCGAGGGGCCUCCGUGUGCCAAAAAUAGGCCGCGGGCAAAGCCGCGCCCAAAAAUAACCGCCCGAAGGCCGGGGCACCAAGUUCGUCCAGCGGAAAAAGGCCACAAAAACGGGUGGGCUAUAGCCUUGGGGGGUGGGGCUGGCCUACUUCGUCCGCCGGACUCGGAAUGCUGCGAGACUUUGCGAGGGACCUCCGUGUGCCAAAAAUAGGCCGCGGGUAAAGCCGCACCCAAAAAUAACCGCCCGAAGGCCGGGGCGCCAAGUUCNNNNNNNNNNNNNNNNNNNNNNNNNNNNNNNNNNNNNNNNNNNNNNNNNNNNNNNNNNNNNNNNNNNNNNNNNNNNNNNNNNNNNNNNNNNNNNNNNNNNNNNNNNNNNNNNNNNNNNNNNNNNNNNNNNNNNNNNNNNNNNNNNNNNNNNNNNNNNNNNNNNNNNNNNNNNNNNNNNNNNNNNNNNNNNNNNNNNNNNNNNNNNNNNNNNNNNNNNNNNNNNNNNNNNNNNNNNNNNNNNNNNNNNNNNNNNNNNNNNNNNNNNNNNNNNNNNNNNNNNNNNNNNNNNNNNNNNNNNNNNNNNNNNNNNNNNNNNNNNNNNNNNNNNNNNNNNNNNNNNNNNNNNNNNNNNNNNCGCGAGCCUUUCCGGGGGCCCCCGUGUGCCAAAAAUAGGGCGCGGACAAAGCCGCGCCCAAAAAUAACCCCCCGAAGGCCGGGGCGCCAAGUUGGUCCAGCGGAAAAAGGCCACAAAACCGGGUGGGCUAUACCCUUGGGGGGUGGGCUGGCGACCUUCGUCCGCCUCACUCGGAAUGCCACGUGACUUUGCGAGGGGCCUCCGUGUGCCAAAAAUAAGCCGCGGACAAAGCCGCGCCCAAAAAUAACGGCCCGAAGGCCGGGGCGCCAAGUUCGUCCAGCCGAAAAAGGCCACAAAAACGGGUGGGCUAUAGCCUUGGGGGGUGGGGCACGCCAACUUCGUCCGCCGGACUAGGAAUGCCGCGAGACUUUGCGAGGUGCCUCGUGUGCCAAAAAUAGGGCGCGGACAAAGCCGCGCCCAAAAAUAACUGCCCGAAAGCCGGGGCGCCAAGUUCGUCCAGCGGUAAAAGUUCACAAAAACGGGUGGGCUAUAGCCUUGGGGGGUGGGCUGGCCAACUUCGUCCGCCGGACUCGAAAUGCCGCGAGACAUUGUGAGGGGCCUCCGUGUGCCAAAAAUAGGCCGCGGGCAAAGCCACACCCAAAAAUAACCAACCGAAGGCCGGGGCGCCAAGUUCGUCCAGUGGGAAAAGGCCACAAAAACGGGUGGGCUAUAGCCUUGGGGGGUGGGGCUGGCCUACUUCGUCCGCCGGACUCGGAAUGCCGCGAGACUUUGCGAGGGGCCUCCGUGUGCCAAAAAUAGGCCGCGGACAAGGCCGCGCCCAAAAAUAACCGCCCGAAGGCCGGGGCGCCAAGUUCGUCCUGCGGAAAAAGUCCACAAAAACGGGUGGGCUAUAGCCUUGGGGGGUGGGGCGGACCAACUUCGUCCGCCGGACUCGGAAUGGUACGAGACGUUGCGAGGGCUUUCGUGUGCCAAAAAUAGGCCGCGGACAAAGCCGCACCCAAUAAUAACUGCCCGAAGCCCGGGGCGCCAAGUUCGCCCAGCGGAAAAAGGCCACAAAAACGGGUGGGCUAUAGCCUUGGGGGGUGGGGCUGGCCAACUUCGUCCGCCGGACUCGGAAUGCCGCGAGACUUUGCGAGGGGCCUCCGCGUGCCAAGACUAGGCCGUGGACAAAGCCGCGCCCAAAAAUAACCGCCGGAAGACCGGGGCGCCAAGUUCGUCCAGCGGAAAAAGGCCACAAAAACGGGUGGGCUAUAGCCUUGGGGGGUGGGGCUGGCCCACUUCGUCCGCCGGGCUCGGAAUGCCGCGAGACUUUGCCAGGGGCCUCUGUGUGCCAAAAAUAGGCCGCGGGAAAGCCGCGCCCAAAAAUAACUGCCCGAAGACCGGGGCGCCAAGUUCGUCCAGCGGUAAAAGGCCACAAAAACGGGUUGGCUAUAGCCUUGGGGGGUGGGGCUGGCCAACUUGGUCCGCCGGACUCCGAAUAGUGCGAGACUUUGCAAGGCACCUCCGUGUGCCAAGAAUAGGCCACGGGCACAGCCGCGCCCAAAAAUAACCACCCGAUGGCCGGGGCGGCAGUUCGUCCAGCGGAAAAAGCCCACAAAAACGGGUGGGCUAUAGCCUUGGGGUGUGGGGCUGGCCAACUUCGUCCGCCGGACUCGGAAUGGUGCGAGACUUUACGAGGUGCCUCCGUGUGCCAAGAAUAGGCCGCGGGCACAGCUGCGUCCAAAAGUAACCACCCGAUGGCCGGGGCGGCAGUUCGUCCAGCGGAAAAAGCCCACAAAAACGGGUGGGCUAUAGCCUUGGGGUGUGGGGCUGGCCAACUUCGUCCGCCGGACUCGGAAUGGUGUGAGACUUUGCGAGGUUCCUCCGUGUGCCAAAAAUAGGCCGCGGGCACAGCCGCGCCCAAACAUAACCGCCCGAAGGCCGGGGCGCCAAGUUCGUCCAGCGGAAAAAGCCCACAAAAACGGGUGUGCGAUAGCCUUGGGGGGUGAGGCUGGCCACCUUCGUCCGCCGGACUCGGAAUGGCACGAGACUUUGUGAGGCACCUCCGUGUGCCAAAAAUAGGCCGCGGGCACAGCCGCGCCAAAAAAUAACUGCCCGAAGGCCGGGGCGCCAAGCUCGCCCAGCGGAAAAAGCCCACAAAAACGGGUGGGCUAUAGCCUUGGCGGGUGGGGCUGGCCAACUUUGUCCGCCGGACUCGGAAUGGCGCGAGACUUUGCGAGGCACCUCCGUCUGCCAAAGAUAGGCCGCGGGCACAGCCGUGCCCAAAAAUAACAGCCCGAAGGCCGGGGCGCCAAGUUCGUCCAGCGGAAAAAGCCCACAAAAACGGGUGGGCUAUAGCCUUGGGGGGUGGGGCUGGCCAACUUCGUCUGCCGGACUCGGAAUGGCGCGAGACUUUGCGAGGUGCCUCCGUGUGCCAAAAAUAGGCCGCGGGCACAGCCACAUCCAAAAAUAAGCGGCCGAAGGCCGGGGCGCCAAGUUCCUCCAGCGGAAAAAGGCCACAAAAACGGGUGGGCUAUAGCCUUGGGGGGUGGGGCUGGCCAAACUCGUCCGCCGGACUCGGAAUGGCGCGAGACUUUGCGAGGCACCUCAGUGUGCAAAAAAUAGGCCGCUGGCACAGCCGCGCCAAAAAAUAACGGCCCGAAGGCCGGGGCGCGAAGUUCGUCGAGCGGAAAAAGCCCACAAAAACGGGUGGGUUAUAGCCUUGGGGGGUGGGGCUGGCCAACUUCGUCUGCCGGACUCGGAAUGGCGCGAGACUUUGCGAGGUGCCUCCGUGUGCCAAAAAUAGUCCGCGGGCACAGCCACAUCCAAAAAUAAGCGGCCGAAGGCCGGGGCGCCAAGUUCGUCCAGCGGAAAAAGCCCACAAAAACGGCUGGGCUAUAGCCUUGGGGGGUGGGGCUGGCCAAACUCGUCCGCCGGACUCGGAAUGGCGCGAGACUUUGCGAGGCACCUCAGUGUGUAAAAAAUAGGCCGUUGGCACAGCCGCGCCAAAAAAUAACGGCCCGAAGGCCGGGGCGCGAAGUUCGUCGAGCGGAAAAAGCCCACAAAAACGGGUGGGUUAUAGCCUUGGGGGGUGGGGCUGCCCAACUUCGUCCGCCGGACUCGGAAUGGCGCCAGACUUUGCGAGGCGCCUCUGUGUGCCAAAAAUAGGCCACAGGCACAGCCGCACCCAAAAAUAACCACCCGAAGGCCGGGGCGCCAAGUUCGUCCAGCGGAAAAAGGCCACAAAAACGGGUGGGCUAUAGCCUUGGGGGGUGGGGCUGACCAACUUCGUCCGCCGGACUCGGAAUGGCGCGAGACUUUGCAAGGCACCUCCGUGUGCCAAAAAUAGGCAGCGGACACAGCCGCGUCUAAAAAUAACCGCCUGAAGGCCGGGGCGCCAAGUUUGUCCAGCAGAAAAAGCCCGCAAAAACGGGUGGGCUAUAGCCUUGGGGGGUGGGGCUGGCCAACUUCGUCCUCCAGACUCGGAUUGCCGGGAGACUUUGUGAGGCGCCUCCGUGUGCCAAAAAUAGGCCACGGGCACAGCCGCACCCAAAAAUAGCCGCCCGAAGGCCAGGGCGCCAAGUUCGUCUAGCGGAAAAAGCCCAUAAAAACGGGUGGGCUAUAGCCUUGGGGGGUGGGGCUGGCCAACUUCGUCCGCCGGACUCGGAAUGGCGCGAGACUUUGCGAGGCACCUCCGUGUGCCAAAAAUAGGCCGUGGUCACAGCCGUGCCAAAAAAUAACUGCCCGAAGGCCGGGGCACCAAGUUCGUCCAGCGGAAAAAGCCCACAAAAACGGGUGGGCUAUAGCCUUGGGGGGUGGGGCUGGUCAACUUCGUCCACCGGACUCGGACUGCCGCGAGACAUUGCGAGGGGCCUCCGUGUGCCAAAAGUAGGCCGCGGGCAAAGCCGCGCUCAAAAAUAACUGCCCGAAGGCCGGGGCGCCAAGUUCGUCCAGCGGAAAAAGGCUACAAAAACGGGUGGGCUAUAGCCUUGGGGGGUGGGGCUGGCCCACUUCGUCCGCCGGACUCGAAAUGCCGCGAGACAUUGCGAGGGGCCUCCGUGUGCCAAAAAUAGGCCACGGCCGCGCCCAAAAAUAACCGCCCGAAGGCCGGGGCGCCAAGUUCGUCCAGGGGAAAAAGGCCACAAAAACGGGUGGGCUAUAGCCUUGGGGGGUGGGGCUGGCCAACUUCGUCCGCCGGACUCGGAAUGGCGCCAGACUUUGCGAGGCGCCUCUGUGUGCCAAAAAUAGGCCACAGGCACAGCCGCACCCAAAAAUAACCACCCGAAGGCCGGGGCGCCAAGUUCGUCCAGCGGAAAAAGGCCACAAAAACGGGUGGGCUAUAGCCUUGGGGGGUGGGGCUGACCAACUUCGUCCGCCGGACUCGGAAUGGCGCGAGACUUUGCAAGGCGCCUCCGUGUGCCAAAAAUAGGCAGCGGACACAGCCGCGUCUAAAAAUAACCGCCUGAAGGCCGGGGCGCCAAGUUCGUCCAGCAGAAAAAGCCCGCAAAAACGGGUGGGCUAUAGCCUUGGGGGGUGGGGCUGGCCAACUUCGUCCUCCAGACUCGGAUUGCCGGGAGACUUUGCGAGGCGCCUCCGUGUGCCAAAAAUAGGCCGCGGGUACAGCCGCACCCAAAAAUAGCCGCCCGAAGGCCAGGGCGCCAAGUUCGUCUAGUGGAAAAAGCCCAUAAAAACGGGUGGGCUAUAGCCUUGGGGGGUGGGGCUGGCCAACUUCGUCCGCCGGACUCGGAAUGGCGCGAGACUUUGCGAGGCACCUCCGUGUGCCAAAAUUAGGCCGUGGUCACAGCCGUGCCAAAAAAUAACUGCCCGAAGGCCGGGGCGCCAAGUUCGUCCAGCGGAAAAAGCCCACAAAAACGGUUGGCUAUAGCCUUGGCGGGUUGGGCGGGCCAACUUUGUCCGCCGGACUCGGAAUGCCGCGAGACUUUGCGAGGGGNNN